rnacentral:lncRNA from 1 species
AGAGUUGCCUGCCUUUGGACAGACUUCAGUUUGUCAGUGACCUGCUUACCAGGUUCCCAGAACACAACCUACUAUUGUAGAUGAGAUUGACCAUGGCAGGCCACAGAGGCUUUCUAAUGAGCCUGGAUCCCAAUGUAUUGCUAUUAUGUCUGAACUUGAAACUGUACUGGAAUUUUGAUCACCCCAAUUCCAACAACUAUCACCAGAAAACUACCUAUUUUACGAAUCAUUUGGGAACACAAACCCUAAACACCCAGGAG